rnacentral:rRNA from 1 species
UACGGGGGGGGGCAAGCGUUGUUCGGAAUUACUGGGCGUAAAGGGCUCGUAGGCGGCCAACUAAGUCAGACGUGAAAUCCCCAGGCUCAACCUGGGAACUGCGUCUGAUACUGGAUGGCUUGAAUCCGGGAGAGGGAUGCAGAAUUCCAGGUGUAGCGGUGAAAUGCGUAGAUAUCUGGAGGAAUACCGGUGGCGAAGGCGGCAUCCUGGACCGGCAUUGACGCUGAGGAGCGAAAGCCAGGGGAGCAAACGGGG